AGAGUUUGAUCCUGGCUCAGAUUGAACGCUGGCGGCAGGCCUAACACAUGCAAGUCGAGCGGUAGCACAGAGAGCUUGCUCUCGGGUGACGAGCGGCGGACGGGUGAGUAAUGUCUGGGAAACUGCCUGAUGGAGGGGGAUAACUACUGGAAACGGUAGCUAAUACCGCAUAACGUCGCAAGACCAAAGUGGGGGACCUUCGGGCCUCAUGCCAUCAGAUGUGCCCAGAUGGGAUUAGCUAGUAGGUGGGGUAACGGCUCACCUAGGCGACGAUCCCUAGCUGGUCUGAGAGGAUGACCAGCCACACUGGAACUGAGACACGGUCCAGACUCCUACGGGAGGCAGCAGUGGGGAAUAUUGCACAAUGGGCGCAAGCCUGAUGCAGCCAUGCCGCGUGUGUGAAGAAGGCCUUCGGGUUGUAAAGCACUUUCAGCGGGGAGGAAGGCGGUGAGGUUAAUAACCUCACCGAUUGACGUUACCCGCAGAAGAAGCACCGGCUAACUCCGUGCCAGCAGCCGCGGUAAUACGGAGGGUGCAAGCGUUAAUCGGAAUUACUGGGCGUAAAGCGCACGCAGGCGGUCUGUCAAGUCGGAUGUGAAAUCCCCGGGCUCAACCUGGGAACUGCAUUCGAAACUGGCAGGCUAGAGUCUUGUAGAGGGGGGUAGAAUUCCAGGUGUAGCGGUGAAAUGCGUAGAGAUCUGGAGGAAUACCGGUGGCGAAGGCGGCCCCCUGGACAAAGACUGACGCUCAGGUGCGAAAGCGUGGGGAGCAAACAGGAUUAGAUACCCUGGUAGUCCACGCUGUAAACGAUGUCGAUUUGGAGGUUGUGCCCUUGAGGCGUGGCUUCCGGAGCUAACGCGUUAAAUCGACCGCCUGGGGAGUACGGCCGCAAGGUUAAAACUCAAAUGAAUUGACGGGGGCCCGCACAAGCGGUGGAGCAUGUGGUUUAAUUCGAUGCAACGCGAAGAACCUUACCUGGUCUUGACAUCCACUGAACUUAGCAGAGAUGCUUUGGUGCCUUCGGGAACUGUGAGACAGGUGCUGCAUGGCUGUCGUCAGCUCGUGUUGUGAAAUGUUGGGUUAAGUCCCGCAACGAGCGCAACCCUUAUCCUUUGUUGCCAGCGGUUAGGCCGGGAACUCAAAGGAGACUGCCAGUGAUAAACUGGAGGAAGGUGGGGAUGACGUCAAGUCAUCAUGGCCCUUACGACCAGGGCUACACACGUGCUACAAUGGCAUAUACAAAGAGAAGCGACCUCGCGAGAGCAAGCGGACCUCAUAAAGUAUGUCGUAGUCCGGAUUGGAGUCUGCAACUCGACUCCAUGAAGUCGGAAUCGCUAGUAAUCGUAGAUCAGAAUGCUACGGUGAAUACGUUCCCGGGCCUUGUACACACCGCCCGUCACACCAUGGGAGUGGGUUGCA
rnacentral:rRNA from 1 species